rnacentral:lncRNA from 1 species
GCGAAAUUCAAGGCUAUUGUUACGUUGUCUCUACAAUCCCAAAUCCCAACCUCCAGUGGUACAAACAACAAAGGAAAAAAAAAAAGAAUGCCAUUCUGUAACGUGGGCCCUUAUUAAAACGAAGAUGGGACCACCGCCACCAGAUGACCACACUCUCUCCGUCCUACUCCUCCUUGGUGAGCCCUCCCGUUUCUUAAUGGCAGAUAUGAGGAUUUGUGCGGCCCUCUGCCGUUCACUAUGUUUGGUGGAGUGAUUCGCCGAAGGAGGUAUGUGGAUCGCCGGCUUCAUUUUUUUCUGCCAAAGGUAAAUUGAUUCCAAAUUCAUUUCCACCACCAAUAAGACUUAUGCCGACUGCAAUGCUUGGGCUCCCAAACAGACCUUCACUCAUGGAGACUAUUUGAGUAAAGCUGAUUUUUCAUCAAGUAUUUUUAAAUCCGAGAUUUUUGCUUGUUGCAUUCAUUUGGUUUGUGUGAUCUGAGAUUUCGUUCCUUAUUUGUGUUGUAUUGAUGCUUGCCUUUAUGGAGAUUUCAGAAAUUGUUUAUUGUUAGGGUGAAUUACAGUUUGCACGUCUGUACUAUCGAAAAGGUCGUAUUCACCCCAUGUACUAUCAAAAUCUACAAAUACCCCCUG